UACAUUUGCCCUUUUCCAGUCUGCUGGAAUCUCUCCCAUCUUCCAUGACUUUUCAACUAUAAUAACCAAAGUAAAACUAGCCCAUUGGGUCUGUGAGCAGACAUCAGCGAUAAAGGGGUGCAGGAUCCAGAAAAGAGAAGCCAGUAGUGAACACUGACCGUGGACAACAGAUGAAACAGACAGACGAACUAUUGCAAGAAGGUGUGGAUACAACAGUACAUUGAGAGCCGAGAAGGAAGGACUGUGCUGGAGUACUAAUUCUGAACAUGGCACUAGGUCUUUCAUGAACCCAAGGAGCUGAUAUAUUUCCAGAAACCCACCCCAUGGUACAUGCUCAGAUGGGAAGGGCUUGAACCACCCAACUAGAAGCAGAACACAGACAGAUGUUUUCCUCAGGUGCUACCCCAGACGAUACUGCCAGGACCGCAAUUCAUUGUGCAGCUUGUGCUGACGGCGGCCUCACCGUACCCUGCACCACUUGCU